GGCAAUAAUCUAGAUAAGGUGGCACAUCUUAAAAGAGGUGCGAACUCAGUAUUAGUGCAAAGACGGUGGAAGUAAACGCCUCCGUAGCAGCUGUGUAAACAGAACGGACAGAAAGCUCACGUCAGGUGAGAGUGCACUGCUUCGCGUCAUCCACGUGAACGCAUUGGUACUGGAGUUGUAGGUCUAGUUCAUCUAGGCUGGCCCAAACACGAGGAUUGCCGUCGUCUGUUCGACCAGUCACUGUUUUUCCCAGGACCGAAUUUGUCUACUUGUAUCUAUUUUGAAUGUAACCUACGAGUGCUAUAAACAUCUGCCACCCGUAUCGUGGGCUAAUUGGGAGACUAGGGGGAAGGCCGGCUAGUGGUAGCCCUUUAACCCAAAUUGUUUUGUGUUUUGUUUGUUAUUUUGUUUAUUAUAUCUUUCUUGUGUGGCCCAUGGGCAUUUUUACAUCAUCUCUUGUGGGAACAGUAUUUGUUUUCAGUGUCUUAGUGUUUGUUUUCAGUGUUUUAGUGUUUUUUUCAUUUGCUGUUAACUACAUGGGUUUUAUUUGCACUUGUUGCUAACCAGCAUGUUCAUUGAUUAUUGUACAAUACAUGUUUAUUGAUUGCAUCAGUCCCAUUUCUGUGCCUUCAUUGGACACACCUGGAUAUAGUUUGAUAGUCUACUAGUUUAUUCAUUCUCUAAACUAUAGAUUCAAGUACCCCUGGGGGUCACACAAGGAAAAUGUUUAUGGGAUUGGGGAUUGAGAAUCUCAUUGCAACUAUUGAGGCCGUGUCAGUGAGAUACAAGCCGGAUGGUAGGCUGGCAGAAUUACUGGCAGACCUUCAGACCCAGAGAAGACAAAAAGAGGGUGAGCGUGAGCCCACCCUAUAUACAAGUAUCAGGUGAGCAGCUUUUACUUUUUGUUGUCAAUUUUAGCUUUGGAGUUUAUUUUAAUUGUUUCUUAUCUAAAUGUUGAACAUUGUGUGAACUCAGAGGAUCCACAUCAAGGUGAAGCUGCUUGGCCAGGAAAGGAAGGACUCUCCAUAGCAAGCACACCUAAGCAGCAAAAAGCAGUGAGAGCAACCAUAGACAGCACUGUGCUUCAUUUGAAGCAUAGGUUCAGCAGUCUGCUGCGGAAGUGAAAGCACAGAAAUAUAGAUUAAAAAGAAAUCUGUGAAGAUAAAAUAAGAUAUCAUUAUGACACAUUCAUCUUUCUCUUUCUUUCAGCUGUGUCUUUCUAUUCCAUGAUAGAUGAAGAGUCUACAUCAGCAACAGCAAAGGCAGUGAAGUCAUUCAACUGCUCUGAUCACAAGGUAACCCAUCAUUAUCAUAUCCUUGUUGAUUUAGCAAUUAUUACUUUUUGAUUGAAUAAAACCUGUGCUAAUGAUCCAUUCUUUGUAGAACAUCCACCUACAUCUUGUGCACAUCAUGCUGGUUCUCCCGGUCUCCUCUGCUGUAUGUGAAAGGGGAUUUUCGGCUCAGAAGAGGAUUAAAUCUGAUGUCAGGGGGUCCCUACAUGUAAACACUGUGGAGGACUUGAUUCGAAUUAGCAUGGGGGGACCUAGUGUACAAGAGUUUGAUGCCAAGGGAGCUGUACAAACAUGGUUCAGUUCGAGUCAAAGGUCUAGUAGGCAAAAUUACUUGGGCUGGCCUUCUGAGCCUCCUGGUGGAACACAGGAGGAUCUGCUCUAAGUAAAGGUACAAGUUGUUUAGGCCUACUGGUUCUUGUGGAAUGUUAUUGGCCAGUGCCCCUAAUGUUUACAUACAUUUGUUAGAAAGGUUACUAAGCAAUUUUUUAUUUUUUUUAAUCUAUGUUUUAUAUAUAUUGUACUCUAUAUGUCACUAUGUUUCAUCUUCAAAAUAAAAUGUGACACUGAAUUUGAAACAGCACAUUGUAAUUUCUGCAUCUUUUAUCAAAACAUUUAUUAGUAAUAGUUAGGGGUGCAAAGGAUCACAAAGCUCACGGUUUGGAUCGGGUCACGGUUUUUGAGUCACGGGUCGGAUAAUUUUCGGGAUCAACAACAACAAUAAAGAUAACAAGACAAAUGUGACUUUAAAUAAAAUCUUCAACUGUGUAAAAACAAAAUAAAGUGAAAAAUUAGGCAAUAAUCCUGCUUCCUUUAAGCAUGAUCAAUAUUAAAAUGUGCAAUCUGAGGCAUUAUUCCUUCUUCUUUUUAACAUGGAUAGGAUAGUAAAUAAUCCCUAACCCUGGAUUUACAAUUCAGGAUGUCUGCAUUGCCAGGGGAGAGUUUAGUGUCUACACUCUCCCAAGGCAAAGCAGACAUCCUUAUCUUCUUUUUUUUAGUUUGGUAGCGAAAUACAGUUUCUGUGGUGUUUUAUUUGGCAUUUUGUAAAUCCAUUGAUUUCGGUUGGGAGACUCAUUGCUCAUUGCAAGGGGGGUUGGUUGUAGUCUUUUCGCUCGUUUCUAGCCCUACUGUUGAUACGGCGAACCGAGCGAAAAGACUACAACCAAACCUAAACACGUCCGGUUCCGGUUCCGGUUUACGUUUCAAUGGGAUUUACGGAACGCCAAAUAAAACACAACAGAAACUGUAUUCCGCUACGAUACUUGAUGAUGUUGUUAAUACCGGAAUUGUCCUCUAAACAUGUG